rnacentral:rRNA from 1 species
UACAGAGGGUGCAAGCGUUAAUCGGAAUUACUGGGCGUAAAGCGCACGUAGGUGGCUUGAUAAGUUGGGUGUGAAAUCCCCGAGCUUAACUUGGGAAUUGCAUUCAAGACUGUCUUGCUAGAGUGUGGAAGAGGGAAGCGGAAUUCCAGGUGUAGCGGUGAAAUGCGCAGAUAUCAGGAGGAACACCGGUGGCGAAGGCGGGUCUCUGGGCCGAUACUGACACUGAGGAGCGAAAGCGUGGGGAGCGAACAGG